UAGGGAAAUCUUCCACAAUGGGCGCAAGCCUGAUGGAGCAACACCGCGUGAGUGAAGAAGGGUUUCGGCUCGUAAAGCUCUGUUGUUGAAGAAGAACGUGCAUGAGAGUAACUGUUCAUGCAGUGACGGUAUUCAACCAGAAAGUCACGGCUAACUACGUGCCAGCAGCCGCGGUAAUACGUAGGUGGCAAGCGUUAUCCGGAUUUAUUGGGCGUAAAGAGAGUGCAGGCGGUUUCUUAAGUCUGAUGUGAAAGCCUUCGGCUCAACCGAAGAAGUGCAUCGGAAACUGGGAGACUUGAGUACAGAAGAGGGCAGUGGAACUCCAUGUGUAGCGGUGGAAUGCGUAGAUAUAUGGAAGAACACCAGUGGCGAAGGCGGCUGCCUGAUCUGUAACUGACGCUGAGACUCGAAAGCAUGGGUAGCGAACAGGAUUAGAUACCCUGGUAGUCCAUGCCGUAAACGAUGAGUGCUAGGUGUUGGAGGGUUUCCGCCCUUCAGUGCCGGAGCUAACGCAUUAAGCACUCCGCCUGGGGAGUACGGCCGCAAGGUUG
rnacentral:rRNA from 1 species